rnacentral:rRNA from 1 species
AUGGCCGACGACCACUACUCCUCCAAGCGCAAGUACGACGACUCCCCGCCGCCGCGCCGGACGGGAUUCUCCUCCGGCCCGCCGCCCGCCUCGCCGCCGGUUGCCGGUGCCCCGGUGCCAUCUUCGUACAACACUGUGCCGCCGCCUCCCGACGAGAUCCAGCUCGCGAAGCAGCGCGCGCAGGAGAUCGCAGCUCGGCUCUUCAGCGCCGCUGAGGCGAAGCGUCCCCGCGUCGACAAUGGCGAUGACGACGUGGGCACCGGUGGGGGAGGAGGGGGUUCCCUGGGGAGCGGUGGCCGUAUCGGCGGUGGCGGCCUCGGAUUCUCGUCCUCAGCCGGUGGUGGCCAUGCUUCUUCCAUCCCAUCCUUAUCUUCUCAAGGAAACUCACAUCAGUAUUCUUCAUAUGGUGGUGGAUACCAGAGUGGCAGUACAACAAAAAAGAUUGAUAUCCCAAAUGGAAGGGUUGGUGUUAUCAUUGGAAAAGCUGGAGAAACUAUAAAGCAUCUCCAAGCUCAGUCAGGGGCAAAGAUCCAAGUAACAAGGGACAUGGAUGUUCAACCCGGCUCACAGACAAGAUCGGUCGAUCUUUCGGGCACUCCUGACCAGAUAAACAGAGCUGAGCAGUUGAUAAUUGAUGUUCUUGCAGAGGCUGAUGCUGGAUCAUCUGGCACUAUCUCUAAUCGGAAGUACAACGCACCUCAACCUGGUGCUGAGCAAUUCCAAAUGCAAAUUGCUAACAAUAAGGUGGGUCUGGUUAUUGGUAAGGGUGGUGAGACUAUAAAAUCCAUGCAGGCCAAAUCUCAAGCUCGUAUACAGGUCAUUCCUUUGCAUUUGCCUCCUGGUGAUACUUCAACUGAAAGAAUACUGUAUAUUGAUGGUACUGCAGAGCAAAUUGAAAUAGCAAAGCAGCUUGUGAGUGAGGUCACUAGUGAGAAUCGUGCCAGAAAUCCAAUGUCAGGUGGCUAUUCUCAGCAGGGCUACCGCCCUCCUCGUCCUCAGGCAAACUGGGGUGCGCCUGGUGCACCAACAACACAACAGCCUGGUUAUGGUUACAUGCAGCCUGGACCUUAUCCUGGUGCGCCACCACAGUAUGGCCAGCAACCUUAUGGCAGCUACCCUCCAGCAUCUGGAGGUUAUCAGACAGGGUGGGAUCAGUCUUCAAACCAGCAAUCACAGCAGGCCCCCUCUGCCGCUGGUUAUGACUACUAUAACCAACAGCAGCAACCCCAACAGCAACAAUCUGCCACUGGAACUGCUGCACCUGCUGAUGCUAGCAACUACAAUUACAGCCAGCCUCCUGCUAGUUAUGCUUCACAAGGGUAUGGUGAUUCUACCUACUCUCAGCAGAGUGGUGGGCAGCAAGCUUAUGACUACUCUGGUUACCAGACCCAGGGGCAGCAGCAGUCUUACUCGGAGCAGCCUGGAUAUGAUCAGCAGAGCUAUGGAUCAGCUGCUAACUCAACUCAGGAUGGUACUGCACCUAGCUAUGGUGGUCCAGGUGGUGCUGGUCAAGCAUCUCCAGGGCAGCAAGCUUCCACUCCAUCCUCUGGAGGCCAACCGGGUUAUCCUAGCCAACCACCUACUAGUGCUGCUGCAUCAAGCUACCCAGUGCAAGGUUCUGCCCCUCCAUCUGGAUACGUUGCUCCACAUACACAGCCUGGUUAUGGUACGCAGCCACCACCACAGGGCGCAUACGGUCAGGGUGCUUAUGGGCAGCCUCCGCAGGCUCAGAAGCCGCCUUCAUCUGCUCCUACUUAUGGACAGCCACCGCCUGCUCAGGCUGGUUAUGGGCAGUAUGGAUACAGUCAGCAAGGCUAUGGUGCACCGCCGCCUUACCCUGGUGCACCCACUGCUAGCCAGCCAGGCUAUGGCCAGCAGCAGUCAUACGGUGAUCCUUAUGCUACUGGUAGCUAUGGGCAGCCUACAGCGUAUUCUACUGAAGCUACAGCACCUGCUGCUUCCCAGGAUCAAUCUGCCGCCGCACCUGCCCCUACCACAGCAACUGCCGCUCCUGCUCCUGCCAACAGUGGUGCCCCCCAAACUUCUCCGAGUUGA